CCGCGGGCCACUCCCGGACAAACCACAAGAUACGAGUACAGCGAGUCCUCGAGUUACGAGGAUUCGUACAUUUGCCGGUGCAUCCGCACCUUGGCAAACGAUGACGGGCAGGUGGAAAUUUGGUUGAACGCGAGGUUGAUGGACACCGAUGGUAACGAGUGGGUCGGGAAGGAAACGAGCGUGAAAGCGUUCCGCGGAAUUAAGGACGUCCACGCCCCUCCGGAACAGUCCUCGGAGGCUAAAAGGGUCCAGGUUCUUCGGCGGAAACUAACAUCGCGUCGGAACGAUUACCGCGAUUGGCUAAAUAAGGUCGAUACUCAAAGUAGCCGCUGCGAGCCAACUGUGGAACGUGGAACGAAAGAAAAAACCUUAACGAGGCUAAUAGUCGAAUAAGGAGACUUAUGAAUUCGAGACACGCACGUACCUGCCGGCAGUGCGCCAGGGAUUCGACGACCUUGUCAUCGGCAGGAUACACCGAUUCUUUUCGACUUAUCAGCGCCGAUUAACGUUGCUUCCGGGAAACUUAAGCGUUCCAAGACGAGGAGUCCAUUGAAAAAUAACGUGGUCUGGCCGUCAGACGACCAAUAACCGGAUCCACGUUCAUCGUCGUGCAGUUGCAAUGCUAUGCCAGCUCUGAUGGGAUCGAAUUACCGCUUCGUCGAGGCCCAACAAGCCAGAACCCUGCCGUAGCUGUACUCGCUUGGAAGGCUUCGCGUCAGCUUUCCGCCUGAUGCCGCAACAUGGAAUACCAUGGUUCGAUUAGGCGAGUGGAAAGGUCCCGAAACCUCGAGGGCGAAGAAAUAAAAGAAACGAGUCUCCAUUCACACGGAGCGCAGCGCGUUCUCAUCGUAAUUUACGAGGCUGUCCCCGUAAAUUACGAUCCGCAGUUGCUCGUACGCUGCGAGCCAAUGCAUGUCCUCGAGGCAAGGCCAAGGUCGCGGUGCAACAAUCUUCCGCUGCGAGGUAUGCGACGUCGAUCGAAUGAACGGUGGCAACGAAAGUAUUGCGUGGGUGGUGCAAUCCUCGUCGGACCUGGGUUCACCAUGGGUACUACAACCCUUAACCUUUUCACGCAUUUCCUCGGUCGUGCACCCCCUAGUGUUUACUUAAUCUUGCAAAGAAUACUCUUCGAUACAAGUCGCACGUCUCUUCGCCUUUUCUCGCGACUCAGUUUUCUUUACCGUCGAAGGCUUUCAAAAAGUCUAACACGGCCACCUCGAUGACGGUGAUUGAUAAUCGCGUUAUAUUUUGCAAGCAACAAGAACGGAUCGGGGAUCCAUCACCCUACAAGAGUAGAUUAAAAUUGGAGGCGAACAAGUUCCCUUGUUAGUCAUGCAUCAUCGAUUAGCAGCGACCUCUAUUUUACGCUGGAAUCAAGUCCCGGACUUUCUAGAAUGCACAGUGAGUCACAGCUCUCCGAUAGCUACGCUACCCUCCACAGGUGAUGGAGAGUAU